UACGGAGGGUGCGAGCGUUGUCCGGAAUUACUGGGCGUAAAGCGCACGUAGGCGGCUUUCUAAGUCGGGGGUGAAAUCCUGGAGCUCAACUCCAGAACUGCCUUCGAUACUGGAGAGCUUGAGUCCGGGAGAGGUGAGUGGAACUGCGAGUGUAGAGGUGAAAUUCGUAGAUAUUCGCAAGAACACCAGUGGCGAAGGCGGCUCACUGGCCCGGUACUGACGCUGAGGUGCGAAAGCUAGGGGAGCAAACAGG
rnacentral:rRNA from 1 species